rnacentral:rRNA from 1 species
UAGUCCACGCCCUAAACGAUGUUUACUCGUCAUUGGCGAUAUAAUGUCAGUAUCCAAGCGAAAGCGUUAAGUAAACCACCUGGGGAGUACGUUCGCAAGAAUGAAACUCAAAUGAAUUGACGGGGGCCCGCACAAGCGGUGGAGCAUGUGGUCUAAUUCGAAGCAACGCGCAGAACCUUACCAACCCUUGACAUACUUAUCGCGGUUUCCAGAGAUGGAUUCCUUCAGUUCGGCUGGAUGAGAUACAGGUGCUGCAUGGCUGUCGUCAGCUCGUGUCGUGAGAUGUUCGGUUAAGUCCGGCAACGAGCGCAACCCACAUCCUUAGUUGCCAGCAGUUCGGCUGGGCACUCUAGGGAAACUGCCCGUGAUAAGCGGGAGGAAGGUGUGGAUGACGUCAAGUCCUCAUGGCCCUUACGGGUUGGGCUACACACGUGCUACAAUGGCAUUUACAAUGGGUUAAUCCCCAAAAGCUGUCUCAGUUCGGAUUGGGGUCUGCAACUCGACU